rnacentral:rRNA from 1 species
ACGCUCGACACCUACGGGAGGUAGCAGUGGGGAAUAUUGCACAAUGGGGGAAACCCUGAUGCAGCGACGCCGCGUGGAGGAAGAAGGUCUUCGGAUUGUAAACUCCUGUUGUUGGGGAAAAAGAGGAUGGUACCCAACAAGGAAGUGACGGCUAACUACGUGCCAANNCGCGUAGUAUGNGNGGCGUGNGAGAG